rnacentral:lncRNA from 1 species
AUAUACUGGAUAACGUAAAAUUAAUAUCAUCUGUUCCUUUUACUGAAAAAAAUGCAGCUACUAGAAGACUUAAAAUGAUGGAUGUAGCUUACAGUGUUUUGCUACCGAACAUGUAGCUCCAUAGCUGAGCCUGUGCUGCAGCUGGUAAGAGCUAGGUUUUUGCUGUCCUCAGUGUUUGGGACUGUGAGUGAUCUCCCCCAGCCACCCCAUCCUCUUGCCUCCUGAGCUGCACUCUCCUUCAUCUUUGAACACCCCCGUGUUCCCCAUAGGAGGCCUGUGGGAUCCUGACUUGGGACAGAUGAGUUAAAUCUCUUAUGAAGCUUAGUGGACCGAAGUUGAGAAAAGACUUCCUGACCACACCCAACCGUGGACCAGAAUCCCAGUGGCUCCAUGGGAGUGAAUCAGGCAUUCCAAGAAUCCUCGGCCUCAAAGUUCUGAGGCUGCGUGAUGUCAUGGGAAGAGCAUGCGGCUGCCCUGGGGAGCUGUCAGCCCCACGUGAACCUGGAGGAACAGUUCCAGGGGAAGGCCCUCGCCCUUCCGCUUGGUCCAGCCAAGCCCCGUAGGCUCCUAGGUCCAGCCUGUGGACCCUCACUGCAGCCUGCUGGUGAGUCUGGGGAUCCCACAAGCUAUACAAGAGUCUGAAGUGGGGACUCUGGAGCCAGAACCCUAGAGUUCAAAACCUGACACUGCACUUCUAGCUCUGCAACUUUCAAUAAAUUCCUUAACCUCUCUGGGUCUUUGCUUCUUUCAUCUAUAAAAUGGGUACAAAUAGAAAGCCCAUCUCAUUUAAAACUCUUUGAGUUUUAAAGGAGUUGAGGUUAGUGCUGUAUUAAUUAGUGUUUGUUUGUGGUAAUGUUAUACUGUGGGUUUUCCAAGCCAGUAUAGCAUAAAUGUUCCAGAUACACAUUGCAUAUCCACAGUGUUGGCAGGAGAAAUGAGGUUGCCCCAAACGUCAAGAGUGAAGGAAGAAACCCCAGGGUGUCCAGCUUCUGGCUCCUGUUCCAAUUUGGACCUCUAAGGGCCGAGCUUUGGAUAUAGUUUCCUCUAGAAAAACCUUUCAUCACCAAGCACCCUCCAUUAUCAUCCCUGACAGAUACUGCCCAAGGGGUCCUCACAGUCUUGGGGGCCACAUUUAAUGAGUUCCUUUACCCAAGCCCAACCCUGGCUACCAGUGUCCACCCUAGUUCGCCUUGGCAGCCUGGCCAAGGGCUGCAGCUGGCCCUGUGCCAUCUUGCUACUCCACAAGCUUCUGACUUCUGAUGACCUUGCCGGACUUCGC